AUGAACAUAAAGCAUAUUCUGUUGUAAUUGAUGGGCCCAAUAGGUAUUGGGACAGGAAAUACAAGCGAAGGACUCAGGGCCUCAAGCCCAACAUUAUUCAGGGUGAGCUAUGUAAGGAGGGCAAAACUGGGAAUGCAAACGGUAAAUAGGGGGUAACGAACUUUUGACAGUGUCAGGUAGUGGGAGGCGUUUAGAGGGGGGAGGGAGUGAGUGGCGAGGUAGACAAUUUUGAGCGUUAGACAGGAGAGGGGAUCUGUUCUCUCGAACAACAAACCAUGGAGAGUGUUC